rnacentral:misc_RNA from 1 species
UUUUUCACACUUGCAUAAGGUUUUCUACCACUAGAAAACCUUUUGGUGUGUAAAAAAAGGUUUUUUGAAAGGGUUUUAUUAGAAAACCCUUUAGCAAAGGGUUUGUUCGUCGUAAAUCAUAUAAAAAACCCGAGUGCCGUUUAUUGAUAUCGAGGCAUAAUUAAAGAAGGAUAAAAAUAGAAAGGGUUUUAAAUAAAAUUACAAUUGCCUAGAAAUAUGAUAUUUUAAAUAAAAUAAAUAGUAUUUUUAUUUUAUUAUACUUAAAAUUGUAUUUUGUUAAAAUUUUUAAAGUAAAAUACGCAAAAUUGUAUACUUUUUAAGUUAACCGAUUUAUCUAUGAGAUUCCUAUAGGUCAAUUAAAAUAUUUUUACAAUUUUAAAGUAAAGCUAAUAAUUAAAAUUUAAAGUAAAACUAAUAAUAAAGUUAAAGAAUUAUGUCUGCAAAUAUUAAAAACUGGUCGCCUGCAGAAGUAGCCAAAUAGCUGUUAGAUAAUGGAUUUAAUGAAAAGACUGCAGCCGAAUUUGAAAAUUCCUGAUAAUAUACAAUAGCCAAAUAUGCCCCAAUUUUAUUGUGAAUGUGGCAACAAUUAUUUUUCAUUUGGAAAGUAAAUACUUUCCAUCUUUCCAUCAACGACAUCUUAUCUUGUUUCAUGAAAAUCAGCCUCUUUUUUACGUUAGAUGUGUUUCAAGUGCAUGCAAGCAAACUUUCAAAAGUGCUAAUAGUCUAAAAAAACAUGUUCAACGAAAGCACAGUAAUUUAUUUAGAAGCUGGUCUAAUGAUAAUGAAAGAGAUCAGGGGAGUAGAAAUAAUAGAAAUGAUAACAUCAUAGAUUCAUCUGAAACAACCGAAGAAUCAAAUGAUCAAAAUAAUGUAAAGUUAGAUCAAGAUUUUAAAUGUAAAAAUAUUGCUGAUAUGCUUAACACUUUGGAAAAACAUUUUGCAUUUCUUCUUUGCGACUCAGAGAAGUGCACAUACUUCCAGCUUCUGUUCAUGCAGAAAUUGCAAAAGAUAUACAAAACCUACUUUUGAUUACACUAAGUAGUUUUAAGGAUGUUAUAUGUCAAUAUUUAUUCAAAAAUAAUAUUUUACCACUAGACAAUGAUUGGGCACAUAUAACAGACACAGAAAGAUUGCUGCAAUUCAUGGGUGAGAUGUCUUCAAAUGAAAAUAGACUAAUUGGAUUAUUGAAAAGCAAAAAAAUGAUUGCAAUGCCAAGACAAAUAGAUUUUAGAAAAAAUAAUACAACUGCUGUUUUUCAAUACAUUCUGAUUCUAGAAGUUUUAUCAAAAUUAGUUUCCCAUGAAGAUGUUUACAAUUGUUUGGGUGACAGUUACAAUCAGUCUUUUUCUAAUAAUGAUUUUAUGAUGUCUUUUUGUGACAGUGAACUUUUUCAUAGUGACAAUUUUUUUUCUGAAAAUCCAAGUGCAUUGCAGAUUCAGUUAUAUGUAGAUGUUGAGCUUUGCAAUCCAAUAGGAGCUAAGCGAGGGAAGCAUAAAGUGACUGCAUUUUAUUUUUUGUUAGGCAAUAUUCCAUCUAAGUUUCGUUCAAAGCAAAAGUUUAUUCAUUUGGCUUUAUUGAUUGAACAUAAAUUUAUAAAAAUGGCCGAAUAUGACUACACUGAAGUUCUUCAUCCAUUAAUUUAUGAUUUAAAUGUACUGCAGAGAAAAGGAAUUGAGAUUUCCGUUAAUGGAUUACGUCAACGUUUAAAAGGCAAACUUACAGGUAUAUCAGCUGAUAUGCUUUCAGCUCAUGCUAUAGGAGGAUUUUAGCAGUAUUUCCAUACUGGAAGAAUUUGUCGUUUCUGUAUGGUGGACAAGUCAGAAGUUGGAAAUAACUUUAGUGAAAGCACUCUUCGUCUCAGAACACCAGAAAUUCAUGAAUACCACUUAGCUGCUAUAAUUGAUAAUGCAGCAAACAAGAAUGUGUAUGGUGUUAGCAAAAAGUGUGAUUUUUUAGAGUUAGAUAACUUUGAUGUACUUACAGCUUUCCCUCCAGAUAUAAUGCAUGAUUUAUUUGAAGGCAUUAUGCCAGUAACUUUGAAAUGUGUUAUCAAACAUUUGUUACGUUCUUGUAAUACAUUAUCAGUAAAUAAUAUAAACGAUUCUAUAAACAAAAUUCAUUUAAUUCAUCUAAUCGCCCUUGCCAAUUACCUAAAAACAUUGCAUCAGAUAAAGCACACAUAAAUGGAACAGCUGUACAGAAAUUAGAACUUUUCCUAUUGUUUCUGCAGUUAGUCGGUAAUGAUGUACCACAUGGAAAUAUUGGCUGGGAGGUUUAUCUUAUACUUCGUGAAAUAUGUGACAUUGUUAUUGCCCCAAUUGUAGAUAGUGACAGUAUAUACAUGUUAGAAGAACUAGUUGCUAUGUUUUUGAAAACAUUUUCUGAAGUAUUUGGUUCUGAAUAUAUUAUUCCAAAAAUGCACAUGCUUGUUCAUUACCCUCGUCUGAUACGUCUUUUUGGGCCUUUACGAAAUUUUUGGUGUUUACGAUUUGAAUCUAAACAUCAGUAUUUUAAAAAAGCUGCCUCAAAUGGACGAUAUUUUAAGAAUAUUACCAAAACAUUGUCAAAGCGUCAUCAAAUGUUGCAGUGCUGAGAAAUGCUGACAGGUGAUAUGCUUUUAUCUAAUUAUACUGUGUCUGGAAACGCACCUAGAUUUUUUCAUAACUUGGAUGUUAAAGUACAAGAAGCUAUAAGAUUGUUACUUAAUUUAGAUAUAGAAGGGAAUGAAUCCAUAGUUAUAGCGAAAUCAAUAUCAGUUGUAUAUAUUUAUAGUUGUAUAUAUAUAUAGUUGUAUAUAUCAUAUGUAAUAAUGUAUAUACAUAUUACUUGCUAUAACCUUGUAUAAUUACUUUAAUGUGAUAUUAUUUAAAUGUCAAAAGUAUAUCAUGUCAAAAAUGUAUAUUUUGGUUACUGUUCACAAGCUGAUUGUUGUAAGAUAAUAUACCACUCUAUGUACAGUUGUAACUUCUUUUUAUUAGUUGGCUAAUGUGGUACAAGGUGAGGAUGACAUAAGCAUAAAAAAACAUCAAGAUGCUUUAAAAAAUGAAAUAAAAAAACAGACACCAAGCUUUGAUAUAAUCAAAGAUAAAAUGAAAAGAACUUGUGAGUACAGACAACUUUUCUGCCAUACCCACACAACUGCAGAAGUUCUGGAAGAAUUUCCGUGUUUACGACUAAAUAUUUUUUUUACAGCAGAUGUGCUUUUGCUGUAUGGUGUAGAUGUAACCAAUUUAAAAAUAAAAUUUCUAACCCUUUAUGAUGGUGUGAUCAAAGAAGCAGCCAAAAGAUGCAAAAAAUAUUGUGAAUAUUCAAGAAUGAUAAACAAAUAUUUAGAAAAAACUUUGGACAAUGAUAAACAACAGGAUUGGAAGGUGAUGUUUGUUACAUUGCUGUUACCCUCAUUAUUUGGGGAGAAAGAAGAGUUGUUUUUUCCCUUACCAAAGCAGCUAAUACCACUUAGUCCAGUCAUAUUGUCACAAGACGACGAGUGGAAUAUAUCAGUCGACAAGGAAGUUUUGUUUCUUAAAACUAUUUGCACUUUUUCCGCGGCUUUUCAAGCAUGGUUUGCAGCAUUUUGGAUAUUCAGCAUUGAAUUCCCAAAAGGAUUGUCCAAUACAUGUCAAUUUUUAGAAAAAGUGCUUCUUGGUGGGAAAGGAAAAGUGCCAAAUAUUGUCAGCAAAUGGGGCAACCGUCUUUUGCACUAAAAUAUGACUUUUGUUUUUUUGUCUGUUUUUGUUGUAAAUCUUUAUAAUUUAUUUAUGUUUUUUUGUCACUAAAUUCGAAAAAACUUCUGAAUAUUUGCAAUAUUUCUAAA